AAGUAUAUAGCUCAGUCGGUAGAGCACCGGGCUUUUAACCCGAUUGCCCUGGGUUCGAGCCCCAGUGUACUUA
rnacentral:tRNA from 1 species